GGCCUACGGGAGGCAGCAGUGGGGAAAUUUGCUCAAUGGGCGCAAACCUGAUGCAAGGACGCUGGGUGAGGGAUGAAAGCGUUAGGGUAGUAAUCCUCUUUCUGCAGGGAGGAGGGGGUAGUUUCGGGUUUUGGAGGAAGUGGACGCCAU
rnacentral:rRNA from 1 species